rnacentral:lncRNA from 1 species
UUACCCCCAGGAAUAUCCCGUUUCCCACCACCCCCACCACCACCUGACAUGAGGCCUCCUUUACCUGUGGCAGGACUCCCUGGUCAGGCACCACCUCCUGGAAUGAUGCUUCCCAUAAUUCCUAUGGCACCACCAUAUGGCCCUCCACCUGGUCCUCCUCCAAUGAUGAGGCCUCCACUUCCACCUGGUCCUCCUCCAAACUUCCAGGAAGAGGAUCAUAUGGCAAUUAGGCCGCCUCCCCCUCCUCCGAAACCAUCAUAUGUUAAAUCUGCUGCUUCUACUGUUGUUAAAAGGCCAUUAGCGCAACACACUCCAGAACUCACUGCUAUG